UACAGAGAAUGCGAGCGUUAAUCGGAAUUACUGGCCGUAAAGCGUGCGUAGACGGUUAUUUAAGUCGGGUGUGAAAGCCCCGGGCUCAACCUGGGAAUUGCAUUCGAGACUGAAUAGCUAGGGUGCAGUAGAGGGAAGCGGAAUUUCCGGUAUAGCGGUGAAAUGCGUAGAUAUCGGAAGGAACAUCAGUGGCGAAAGCGACUUCCUGGACCAGUACCGACGUUCAGGCACGAAGGCCAGGGGAGCAAACGGG
rnacentral:rRNA from 1 species